CAAAGUUAAGGGCACACGCCUGUGACACAGCCUCAGGAAGUCCUGAUGACAUGUGCCCAAGGUGGUCAGGGCACAGCUUGGUUUUAUACAUUUUAGGGAGACGUAAGACAUUAAUCAAUAUGUGUAAGAAGUACACUGGUUCCAUCCAGAAAGGCAAAGGCUUCUGUAAAAAGUAAAAGUAGAGGUUCCUCUUCAAAGACUUUCCUCCCCAUGUAACUAGGAAUAAAUAGUAACUUCUCUUAGAAGCAAAAUUUAUUCAAAGACCUAUGCUCCUAAAUAUUUGCCCUGGCAUGCUUAUACUGGUCCAAGCAAGCAUUAGGUCAUAGCCUGUUCCUCUUCCUUAUUUAAAAGUUUUUUUUACCUUUCUCAGCAUUCCACAAGUUACUUCCUCCUUCCUUUGUUCUCCUCUGCCUUUGCCUCUUUAAAAAAGUUCUAAGGUGCUAGCCAGUCGGGACAAAUACAGAAUGUGAGGUCCUGUUCCAGCCAAUGGAAACCAGACACAACAGUAGGGUGGAUGCGUCAGGUUAUAAAUGACCCUGUCUCCUUUGUUCGGUGUACUCUCAUGGCAAAACUGCUGGUGAGUGUACCUUUUCUACAGGAAGUAAAAAUGGCCUUACUAAAUAAAUUAAAUUAUGUCCAAGUGCUAUUUCUUUAUGGCACCGGGAGCAAGCAUUUAAAAGACUUCCAUGUCACAGGAAGAUUGUGCUUGAGAAACAAUCAUCAAGUCUGUUGGUCCACAUCUCCCGCGCACUCCCUGGAUACCCCCAACAGGCCAAUCCAUCAAGCCACAGCUCAGUUUCCAGGGCUUUAAGAGAAGCAGAAGAAACGCUUCCACAGUCCUCAUUGUGUGCAGGGAAUGAGCAUGAGUUAUGGGGGCUCCUCAAUGCUGAGCCUAGCCACCCCACUGCUGCAUCCCCACAGCCCUUCCAGAGGGUCUCUAUCCCUCCUUAUCUAAGAGCAAAUCCGGGCUCCAUGUCACUGAGUGCUUACUCAUCCCCAGGAAGAGGCAGUUGUUGCACUACGGGGUUUUUUUCUGUAAUAAAUGUCCUUUAUUUUAUCAGAGCAUGGCACUGAAAGAAAAGAAAUCAAAUGUAUAACUUGCAAACCAGUGGAGUGAGGAAAAGAGGAGGAGGUGCGUAAAACACAACCAACCCAAAAGAAGGGGGUUGAUG
rnacentral:lncRNA from 1 species